rnacentral:rRNA from 1 species
AUUGAACGCUGGCGGCGUGCUUAACACAUGCAAGUCGAUCGGUAACAGGUGUAGCAAUACAUGCUGACGAGAGGCGGACGGGUGAGUAAUGCUUGGGAAUCUGCCUAUUAGUGGGGGACAACCCGGGGAACUCGGGCUAAUACCGCAUACGCUCUACGGAGGAAAGCCGGGACCGCAAGGCCUGGCGCUAAUAGAUGAGCCCAAGUCGGAUUAGCUAGUUGGUAGGGAACGGCCUACCAAGGCGACAAUCCGUAGCUGGUCUGAGAGGACGACCAGCCACACCGGAACUGAGACACGGUCCGGACUCCUACGGGAGGCAGCAGUGGGGAAUAUUGGACAAUGGGGCAACCCUGAUCCAGCGACGCCGCGUUGGGUGAAGAAGGCCUGCGGGUUUAGUAAAGCCCUUUCGGGUAGGGGAAGAAAAGUCUCGACCUAAUACGUCGGGACCUUGACGUAACCCACUAAAG